rnacentral:rRNA from 1 species
UACAGAGGGUGCAAGCGUUAAUCGGAAUUACUGGGCGUAAAGCGUGCGCAGGCGGUUGUGCAAGACAGAUGUGAAAUCCCCGGGCUCAACCUGGGAAUUGCAUUUGUGACUGCACGGCUAGAGUGUGUCAGAGGGGGGGUAGAAUUCCACGUGUAGCAGUGAAAUGCGUAGAGAUGUGGAGGAAUACCGAUGGCGAAGGCAGCCCCCUGGGAUAACACUGACGCUCAUGCACGAAAGCGUGGGGAGCAAACAGG